rnacentral:rRNA from 1 species
GGACUACUGGGGUUUCUAAUCCUGUUCGCUCCCCUAGCUUUCGCACCUGAGCGUCAGUUACCAGCCAGGACACUGCCUUCGCCUUUGGUAUUCCUCCGGAUAUCUACGCAUUUCACCACUCCACCCGGAAUUCUAUGUCCCUCUCUGGUCCUCAAGUGUCCCAGUUUUCAGAGGCCUUGCUCAGUUAAGCCGAGCACUGUCACUCCAAACUUAAGACACCGCCUGCGUGCGCUUUACGCCCAAUAAAUCCGGACAACGCUUGCCCCCUACGUAUUACCGCGGCGGCUGGCAC